GUAGAAGCUGCCGCAGGCUGCGAUCUUUUGAUCCUGCUCUUUAAAGGCAAAGAUCGCAGCCUGCGGCAGCUCCUAC
rnacentral:antisense_RNA from 1 species